UCCACCCAUCCAUCCAUCCAUCCAUCCAUCCAUCCACUCAUCUAUUCAUCCAUCCAUCCAUCCAUCCAUCCAUGAAUCCACACAUCCAUCCAUUUUAUUUAUUCAGUGGGCUUUGGGUUAGUUCGUAGCCUUAUACUUGGCUUUAAACUAAAGAUUUUUAUAGUUUGUCCUCAUUUUAAAUAGCUAAGUAAACGUGUUUGUGUGUGUGAUCAAUGUCUUCAUGCAUCCUGACGCUGGUGAAAAUGAUCCACGGGCCAAUUUGCAACCUUCAAUUGCAAUUAAAGAACAACAGAAGCGAUUGAUAAGUGCAUGCUAACUGUAUCAGCCUGUGUGCGCACACCACCUUGAGCUUUUCACAGUCAUCUCCUCUUAAACACCUCCAAACUGUCUUUCACUUUAUUAUCUCUUGUCAUUCUCUUUCCGUGUCUUUUCUUUGUGAGACGGGUGAGAAUGAGAGCUUUCUCUUUCUGUCUUUUCCAUAGGGACGUGACAGAUGAUCCAGAGGAGGCCGGAGUGGCUGAUUGAUCGUGGGAAGUCUUGCGCAUUCAUCUCUGUCGCUGCCGUUCGGCCGAUGGCCGCCUCUAAACCGCUCUCUCUCUCUCUCCAGCGCUGGGCUAAAAGGAAAAACAGACCAAACAUAUUGAUGACAUUAUCCUGCACUCCACAUUUUUGUCCAAUAAAAUGCUCUCUUGGAUGACAAUGCCCCUCCCCCUAAAUUUGAAAUAUGA